UUGGCUUUCUUGUAGAGUGCUGUGCAACUGUUGUUGGUGUUAAAUCUUCAGUGGUUUUUUUUUUUUUUUAUUUAUUUAUUUAUUUAUUUAUUGCCAGAAAACUUUUCCUGGCAUUCCUGUUGGCCCUUGUCCAACUUGUGACAAUUUGCCUGAGGACUGGCUGUUCUGCUAGAUUGUGCCACUACUGCUUAUUGUGUUUGCAGUCCUGACUACUGAAUUGGACUGCUGGUAUAUUCAUGAACUGUUUGUGAGUGGAUCGAACUGUCACUGCUGAGAUGUGAAUUGAACUGCUAAUUUCCUGACAACACAAAUGGGAUUUGCCUAAAGAACCAUUUCUAAACUCGUCUGCUUCCCCCCAUAUCCUUUCUUUUCCACAUGCCAGGUGGGUUGUGGGCUAGAAAGGAGGUUAAAGCAUUUAAGAACCAUCAUAAAAAGUAAGCAUUGAAAAAAACUAAAUGUGGGGAGGAAAAAUAAAAGAAAAAAUUAAAUUUUCACUCUAUCACUUGUUUUAUAGAUUGUUCUAAUCAGUGCGAGAUGCAAUCUCAAAGUAGUUUUGAUUUACAUUUCUCUGAUGACUAAGAAUGUUGAACAUUUCUUUAAUCAAUCAUUCGUCUUUCCUCUUUUGAGAAUUCUCUUACCCCAUUUUAAAAUUCAGUUGUUUUCUUUAUAUCUCAUUUUUUGAGUUCUAUUUUGUCUUUUAGCCCUCUAUCGGAUGUAUGGAUGGUAAAUAUCUUUCACAUUCUGUAGGCCAACACUUUGUCUGAAUGAUAGUGUCCUUUGUCUUAUAGAAGCUUUUGUGUUUCAUGAGGUCCCAGUUAUUAAUUGUUGAUCUUAGUGUCUGUGUUAUUGGUGUUCUGUUUAGAGAGUCAUCUCCUACAGCAAUACAUUCAAGGCUAUUGCCCACUUUCACUUUUAUCAGGUUAAGUGUGUGUAGCUGGUGUUUGCUACUUUGUGAGUUCUUUCUCCCACUCUCUCAGUUAGGGUUUUACUGCUGUGGAGAGACACUAUGACCAAAGCAACUCGUAUAAAGGACAUUAUUUAAUUGGGGCUGGCUUACAGGUUUAGAGGUUCAGUCCAUUAUCAUCAAGGUGUGAGCAUGGCAGUGUCCAGGUAGAUGUGGGCUUAGAGGAGCUGAGAGUUCUAUAUCUUCAUCCAAAGGCAGAGAGGAGAAUUCAUUUUAGGAAAGAUUCCUGCUAUUAAUAAGCUUUCCUGUUAUUACUAAACAUAUAUCAAUCACUAGGUAUUAGUUCACCCCUUUUGAGCAGAUUUCUGCAGAUCUACAAAGAGGUACUGUCUUGUAGUGAUGCUAUACAGCCAAAUAGAUGACUUUUUUUUUUUUUUUUGAGACAGGGUUUCCCUGUCUGUCUGUCCUGGAACUCACCUUGUAGACCAGGCUGGCCUUGAACUCAGAAAUCCACCUGCCUCUGCCACCCGAGUGCUGGGAUUAAGGGCGUUCGGCACCACUCCUGACAUAGAUGACUUCUUAAUUCUUAAUGAUAUGUUAGGUCCAUUUGGUUUAUAACACCAGUUAGCUUCAGCGUUUCUCUGCUUAGUUUAGUUUUUGUCUGGAUGACCUGUCUGUUGGCAAGAGUCAAGUAGUGAAGUCUCUCACUACCAGUGAGUGGAACAAUAUAUGAUUUAAGCUGUACUAAUGUUCUUUUAUGAAUUUGAGUUGCAAUAUAUUUGGGCCAUAUGCAUCUAAAAUUGCAAUGUGCUCAAGGUGGACAUUUCAUUUGAUGAGUAUGUGUCUCUUUUGAUUAGUUUUGUGUUGAAGUCUAGUUUGUCAGAUAUUAAAGUGGCUAUACCAGCUUUCUUCUUAGGUCUAUUUGCUCAGAAUAUUUUUUCCUCCAUUUUUACCCUGAUGUCCAUCCUUGAGGUUAAGAUGUGUUUCUGUUUCUUGGAUGCAUCAGAAGGUUGGAUACUGUUUUUUAUAUCCAUAUUGUUAGUUUGUGUCUUUUUAUGGGGAAUUGAGACCAUUGAUAUUGAGAGAUAAUGAGCAGUGUUUUUUUGUUUUUUUCUGAGACAGGGUUUCUCUGUGUAGCCCUGGCUGUCCUGGAAUUCACUUUGUAGACCAGGCUGGCCUCGAACUCAGAAAUCCGAUUGCUUCUGCCUCCUGAGUGCUGGGAUUAAAGGCAUGUGCCACCACGCCAGGCACAUUAUUUAUUUCUUGUGUGUCUUCUUUAUUUUUUGUUUGUGGAUCAUUUAUUUCUUAAGCGUGGUUGGCUCAAGUUUUCCUUCUGUUAAUUUCUUUAGAGGUUGAUUUUUAGCUAGAGAUUGCUUAACUUUUUGUGUGUAUGUGUUUUUUUUGUUUGUUUGUUUUUGUUUUUGUUUUUGUUCUUUUUUGUUUUUUGUUUUUUUGUUUUUUUGAGACAUGGUUUCUCUUUAUAGCCCUGGCUGUCCUGGAACUCACUCUGUCUAUUAGGCUGGCCUUGAACUCAGAAUUCCAGCUGCCUCUGCCUCCCAAGUUAAACUUUGGUUUUACCAUGCAAUGUUUUUCUUUUUUCCAAGUACUAUAAUUGGUACUUGGAUGAUACUUUUUUCUUAGUAUAGUAGUCUAGGCUGGCACUUGUGAUGUCUUCAAAUUUUAGAACAUCUGUCCAGGCUGUUGUGGGUUUUAGGAUCUUAUUCGGGAAUUCAGGUGUUAUUCUAAUAGGUCUGCCUCUGUAUGUAACUUGGUCUUUUUACCCAUCCUCCUUUUAAUGUUUUUCUUUGUUAUGUGAAGUUUAGUGUUUUGAUGGUUAUGUGACAAAGGGACUUUCUUUUCUAGCCCAGUCUAUUUGGUGUUCAGGAUGCCUUUUGCACCUUUAUAGGCAUUAUCUUCUUUAGGUUAGGAAAAUUUUUCUUCUAUGAUUUUGUUGGAAAUAUUUUCUGUGACUUUGACCUGUGUUUACUUUUGGUUUUUGGAGGCACAGUCCCUCGGUGUAUUGCUGGCUGUCCUGGAACCCACUAUGUAGACCAGGCUGGUCUGGAACUCAGAGAGCCACUUGCCUCUGCCUCCCUAGUACUGGACCUGAAGGUGUGAGCCACUCCCACCCGGCUUGACCUGUGUUUCCUCCCCUUCUUUUAUUUUUCUUAUUCUUAGAUUUGUCUUUUCAUGGUGUCCUGGAUUACCUGAAUGUUUUGUGCCAGGAUAUUUUCAGAUUUAAUGUUUUCUUUACUGAAGGACCUAUUCUGUCUAGGAUUUUGUUGAAACACCUUAGAUUCUCUCUUCCAUUCUUGCUAUUCUGUUAGUGAGGCUUGCCUCUCAUGUUCCUGUUAGAAUUAUUUACUUUCUAUUCCUAAAUUAUUUACUUUCAUAUUUCCCUCAGCCUAGGGUUCCUUUUUUGAUUUUAUUUCUGUUUUCAGGUCUUGAACUGUUUUAUCCAUUUCCUUCCACCAUUUGUGUUUUCAUAUAUUACUUUUGUGAUUUUUAAUAUUAAUUUCCUCUUAAGGACCUCUAUCCUAUUAAUAAAGGCUAUCUUAAGAUCGUGUGUGUGUGUGUGUAUACAGGCGUAUACACUUUAGCUUUGUUGUAACAUUUAGUGUCUGCUGUGCUAGAGUUGUUGAGCUCUGUUGGAUUCCCACCAUCCUGGCCGCUACUGAUUUGUCUUUUUGCUGGUAUAUGAGUAUCUGGGCUUAGAAAGAUCAUAUUUUAGGUACUGAUUUCUGGUCUUCAUUGUGUGAGUAUUUUGGUUGUUUUUGUUUUUGUUAAUAUUUCUCAUUCAUGUGAGACUGUAGUAACUGUGUAUCACCUGGUAGGGAUUACUUCUAGAAUCCUGAUAGUUGUAUCCACUGGGGAUUCUAGGUAAAAUGUAUUUCUAGGGAUUGGGGGCUGACAAUUAAGAGUAAGGAAGGGCUAGGAGGGGGUGGGCUGUGUGUGAGGGGUCCACAGGAGGGAGGAAAGUAGGGUGUUUCAUCGGGAUCUGCUUAUCCCCUGGUAAUAGAUGAGGAAAGUGAGGAGAGGCCACAGAGAAGAAGAUCUGCAACAGAGGUGGAGAUGAGAAUGAUGGGUCAGACUUGGAAUAAUGGAGAAGAUGUGUAGAUCUGAAAUAGCCUUCAUGCUUUCCUGGUGAGAGUGACCUGUAGAUUCCCAAGGAAUGCCUAUUGACUUUGGGGACUGGGAUAAGCCAUGAGUGGGAGAGAAAGAAGCUUGGAGUAGAAGAUCUGUGUGGUCCACUGGAGAAAGGGACAGACC
rnacentral:lncRNA from 1 species